rnacentral:lncRNA from 1 species
CAGGGUUCUUCUCUGGGAGAAGCAGAGGAGGUAGAAAGUGGCUAUGACACAGAGGCAAAGACCCGGAUCAAGAAGGAUGGGGCGGCGCACCAUGGAAUCACCUGGAGCUGUGGGCAGGGAGGAAGAGUCCACCACCAAAGGAACUGUGGUUCCAUUACUCCAGUUACCUCAUGCCUCGUCUGGGACCAGAAAGCAAUCAAUAGUUCAAUCAAGGAGUCCUCAACUAUUUUUACUUUAAAUUUCCAGCCUUUUCUGCAACAUACUACAACAAGCAUGAAGAUACUGCUCUGAUACAUGCUAAGCCUCU